rnacentral:lncRNA from 1 species
AAAGACAACCAAGACCCCAAUAAUUCCUAUCCAGAUACAGAUCUACAGUUGUUUAUUUAUUUAAAAAGUAUUUAUUGAGGGGCUCAUAUGAAUCAGCUACCGUCCAGGGUGCUCAAGAUAUGCCUGUAAGAACAGAGAUAAGUCUGUGCAUUCAUGGCAUUUAGGUCCUAGAGGGGAGUGCAGAUAAAAAAUAAAUAAAUGCAAGAUCCAAAAGUCUGUGUGUGUGAAUGUGUGUGUGUGUACACACCCAUGCCCAUUUUCAUAUUGCAAUAAACCAUGGAAUAAAAUAAAGCAAAUAAAGGGCAUAAGGAGUGUAAGGAAUUUUAAUUUUAAUAGGAUGGUCUGGGAAAGCCUUAUUGAAAAAUUAAUUCUUAAGUAGAGAUCAAUAAGAUCUAGACAGGCCUUAAGAAGGAUUUCCAGAGAGAGGGAACAACAAGGUCAAAAUCCUUGAGGCAAGGCAUGUUAGUCUUUUUUUUUUUUUUUAAGGAGCAUCACCUCUGUGUGAACCAGAAUGAGCAAGGUGCCACUGAGAUGCAGUCAGAAAGGAGUUGGAGACAAAUGGUGUGGGUAGUGUAAGGAUGUUGCCUGUACUCUGAAUGGGAUGGUUAUUCAUUGGAGAGACUUGAGCAGAAGUGUGUGGCAUGAAUGGAGUUUGUGUUCAAAGGACCACUGUGGCGGGUAGGUUAAGAAUAAACUGUAGGUGUUAAGGGCAGAUGCAGAAACAUCAAUUAAGAAGGUAUUUCAAUAAAUAGGGAAAAAUCUUGGCAGUUUGGACCAAGUGGUAGGAAGGUCUUCAGUACUGAACAUUGACUUGGUAUCAUUUGCUAAAUGAUUAGAUAUAGAAUGGGAGGAAAAUGGAUUGGUUUUGUUUUAACUUGAGCACACAGAAAAGUGAUGUUGUCAUUUACAGAGAUGAGAAAGACUCUAUUGGAACAGCUUUGAGCCAAGAGAAGAUUUGGAGUUUGGUUUUACUUACUUUUGAGAUGGCCAUUGGUUAUACAUAAAAUUAGCCAUGCUCAUAUAUGAAUCUCAACACUCAGCCUCAGGAUUUAUAUUUGGAAGUUAUCAACAUUGCCUGGGUUGAACCUACCAGGAGCGUGAGUGUAGAUUGAAGAGAGGAAGUCUGAAACUGAGCCUUGAAAGAGCAGUGUGAGACUGAGAAGGUGUGGCCAUUGAAUAGGAGCAAAACCAGAAGUGUAGCAUCAUAGGCAAGAAGUAAAAACAUGUGAGGGAAGUGCCUUGGCUCAUUACUGGUUAGGUUUAGGAUGGGGCUUUGGUUUAGGCUGCCAUUGGCACUUUUGAUGUAGCAUGUGAUUCAUUUUCUGUGCUCCAGUUUUAGAAUGUUGACCAACAACAAAUUUAAGAAAUAACAGAUGGCAGCCUACCCUAUCCUUGGCACUAGGUAGCACUGAGCACAACAUAUAGCUCCUUCUUCCCUAGACAGAUCAGUAUUGUGGCUUGAGGAAAUUCGAUUUUACUACUAUAUAAUGAAGGAAUGCACUUACUCAAACUUUGCAGAAGAGAAUCUGGAAUUUAAAAGCAGUGUUCUCAUAUAUGAUUAACAAAACUAGGAUUGAUUAUCUCAUUGAUUGAUUAUCUACAUUUUUGCCCAUCACUGUGUUUGCCACCAAAUGGACAGUGGUGUGCAAGCAUUUAGGGAAGAGGAAGACCAACUGAACAAACAUUCACAAUAUAGUGUGAUAAGUGAUUUAUUUGUGAAAGCAUAAAGGACUCCAAGUGCCUGUAUCAGGGACAUGUAAUCUAAUCUUAAGGUCUAGGCACUGGUAUUAAAUGUCAAUUUUCCCCAGGGUCGUUUGGAUGCAUCAUUCCUAGUUUCUGAAUUCCUGUCUUAGGAUGAGUUUCCUCACUUGGGCUCUAGGCCAUUCCAUAGGCAGGCAAAAAUAUUGCUCAACCUCUUCUGCUACAUGAAAGUCAUCAUUAUGCCUAGACACUUCCACAUUUGGUGUUUCAUAUGCUGGUUACUUUAGCUCCUUAAAAUACAGUUUAUUAGUAAGCAUAAGACAUGCUUCUUUGAGACAGUGUAAAGGCUGAUGAAGCUGGCUGUUGAGGGAACAACUGCUUCAUUGCUUGCCACAGAAGCAGGUCAUUUCAGUAGUGCCUUCAUAUCAUUUAUCCAUGAGGAGUCUAAAAGGAGAGUAAAUGUCUCCAGGCUAAUGGUAUAAUGAUGUCCUAGCUGCUUGGCUUUUAAGCAUCAAAAUUAAGGAAGUUGUGAAGCAAUAACCUUGUUAUCCAAAGAUACUGUAUGGUUUGCAGAUUUUAUGCAAAUGAACUUGAUAGGAAUCAAACUAUUUCCAUUUGUGUAUUGUUAACCUAUAUAAAGCAUUUGUUCACUCUGGGUUAAGAAAAAGCAUAUUGCCAAAGCAGGAUGAAUCAGUGCUAGAUUUCCUUUUGUUUCAUUAUUUGUAGAAAUGUUCAAACUAGAAUUUAUUUUCUUCUGUGUAAAGUACAAUCUCCCUGUUAGCAAAGAAGAUCUCUAGUUAAUUAAUUAGGAAAUUAAUUUCAUAUAAUUUAUUAUGUGCCUUCUAUAUGUCAGGUGCUUUGCUAAUAAGUAGAAAUCCACAAGGUGGAAAAAACACAAUCUUUGUCAGAAUUUAAUGAUGAAUAUUGAACAAUUUUAAGGGAAAGAAAGACCCUUAUGAAGAAGAGUGCUGUUGCAAAAGAAUGUUCUUUGGGUGUCCUCUACUUUCACUUAUAGAGAAGGUGAGAUAAAAUAUCAAAAUGAUAAGCUCAUUUGUUUUGGCUGUACAUAUAAUCUAUGUACUUCUGGUGAUGCAAAGAUUCCUGGACCUUGGUCCAGAGUGGUAAAGCUCCACAUUUGUCAGUAGGUGGAAUGCUUGGGUCUAUCAUGCAGCCAGCGUGAGACGGGUCAGAGACAGCACCUCUGUCUUUGAAUGUCUCCCGUCUCUUCAAAUGGUCCAUUGGAAUUGCUGUUUUAAUUUUGCCAGUUUUGUGGCUGAUGUUUUCUCUUACCUUUUUUACACUGAGUGUUUUAUGGAUGACUUCUAAGGCUGAAUCUGAACAUCUAAUUUUUCAGCCAUACUCCAAAACACCACUUCCAGAUUAUUAUUCAUAAAUGGUAUGAAUGUUGUGACAGGGAAUCUAAGGAAAAAAAAAAAAGAGAGAGAGAGCUGGAGCUUUUCUCUAGAGUUUUGAAAUAUUUACUAAGAUGUCUGAUUUGGGUAUCUGUGUUUUGAUGGAGACUUACUGACUUAAAAUACACCUGCAAUUUCUAAAAAUAAUAUUAGGAAUCAUGGUGUGGUGAAGGCACAGGUGUCAAACCAAUAAUAUCCAAGAUUUAGCAGGUUUGGAGGCUGAAUCCGGUGGAGUAAAUACAGAUUGGAGUAUUUGGACCUCUCAGAGGAACUUCUACGAUGCUAAAAUGUUUGCAAAGCAGAUCCACAAAGGAAGGGCGUGAGGACCGAGAAGAGGAAGCUCAAGUGAGAAAAAAGUAUCCGGCCAGAAAUAUGAAGUUCUUCCUCUGGCUUCUGGUUAUGGAGUAGUCUGCAUGCCACUUAAAUUCUGAGAUCUCUUGCAUAGGAGGCUACACUGCACACUCCUCGGAUCUCUUACAUGUCACUUAUUCGUCACUGAUCAGCAGCUAUUUAAUGGCUACCGUGACAUUGCCAGUCUCUCUUCACUCUGGAAUAAAAAUACUGUGAAAAGACAUGUGGAAGGUACAUACACUUACUAACUGAACAUAAACCUGCCUGCUGAAGCUAAUAAUUUAAUAGGAAUUUUUAGGCCAACAGAAGAAAACACAGUAUUUUUUCCUGGAAUUCUGAAACGUUGAAAAUAACUGAAGACGUACGAUGGCCUCACAGAGUUUACAUAGGGGACAGGGUAUAAAGUGAUGAGUUGUCCCACAAGCUAUAUGCAGAAACACGGCACUUCAUUUUGUAGUCACGUCUCCUAAAUUCUUACAUACUGUUUAGGUAAUGCUAAUUCACAUAUGUUGAAUGUCCACCAUGAACCACAUAUCUCACUGGGUUUUCAGGAACCACUUACUGGGUGGAUGUUUGCAACUACCUGGGCUCUGUGAUAGGAUGUUUGCAACUACCUGGCUCAGGUAUGUCUCAUCAAAGACAAAAGCUGCACAGAUCCUGAAUCUUCAGAAUCAUUUACCAUCCUUUAUUUCCAUUCCGUCCCAAUUCAGGACCUCCUUUGAGUCUUCUUUCUGACCCAGAAGACCUUUACCAAUCCUGAUGAUCUGCCCUGGAUCCUAUGCAAGUUACACCAUUAUUCUGGCCCUUCCAUUGUAAGACCUGCAUAUAAAACUGAUUGAACAAUGCCCUUGAUUCCUUUCCUAAAGAUCAUAAUAUGAUCCUGGCACAUUGAGGCCCUAAAAUGGUCACAGAGAAAAGAUUCUGAAAAGGUAAAUUCAAGGGAAACUGUUUUUCGUAGUCUAGACUCAUUUCUAUCAAAAGAACCACAACCCAGUAAUUUCCUUGGGGAAUCUUCUACAUCAAAAGUGAUAGGAGAGGAAGUUCCCUUCACAGCUCAGCGGUUAACGAACCCAACUGAGACUCAUGAGGAUGUAGGUUCGAUCCCUGGCAUCACUCUGUGGGUUAAGGAUCCGGUGUUGCCAUGAGCUGUGGUGUAGGUUACAGAUGCAGUGCAGAUCCUGUGUGGCUGUGGCGUAGGCUGGCGGGUGUGGCUCGGAUCGGACCCCUGGCCUGGGAACUUCCGUAUGCUGUGGGUGUGGCCCUAAAAAGCAAAAAAAAAAAAAAAAAA